rnacentral:rRNA from 1 species
UGGAGAGUUUGAUCCUGGCUCAGAUUGAACGCUGGCGGCAGGCCUAACACAUGCAAGUCGAACGGUAACAGGAAGCAGCUUGCUGCUUUGCUGACGAGUGGCGGACGGGUGAGUAAUGUCUGGGAAACUGCCUGAUGGAGGGGGAUAACUACUGGAAACGGUAGCUAAUACCGCAUAACGUCGCAAGACCAAAGAGGGGGACCUUCGGGCCUCUUGCCAUCGGAUGUGCCCAGAUGGGAUUAGCUAGUAGGUGGGGUAACGGCUCACCUAGGCGACGAUCCCUAGCUGGUCUGAGAGGAUGACCAGCCACACUGGAACUGAGACACGGUCCAGACUCCUACGGGAGGCAGCAGUGGGGAAUAUUGCACAAUGGGCGCAAGCCUGAUGCAGCCAUGCCGCGUGUAUGAAGAAGGCCUUCGGGUUGUAAAGUACUUUCAGCGGGGAGGAAGGCGACAGGGUUAAUAACCCUGUCGAUUGACGUUACCCGCAGAAGAAGCACCGGCUAACUCCGUGCCAGCAGCCGCGGUA